rnacentral:rRNA from 1 species
GACGAACGCUGGCGGCGUGCUUAACACAUGCGAGUCGAACGAUGAGCCCGGAGCUUGCUCCGGUGGAUUAGUGGCGAACGGGCGAGUAACACGUGAGUAACCUGCCCUUGACUCUGGGAUAACUGCGGGAAACUGUAGCUAAUACCGGAUACGACCCUCGGCGGCAUCGCCAGGGGGUGGAAAGAAUUUCGGUCAAGGAUGGACUCGCGGCCUAUCAGCUAGUUGGUGAGGUAACGGCUCACCAAGGCGACGACGGGUAGCCGGCCUGAGAGGGUGACCGGCCACACUGGGACUGAGACACGGCCCAGACUCCUACGGGAGGCAGCAGUGGGGAAUAUUGCACAAUGGGCGCAAGCCUGAUGCAGCAACGCCGCGUGAGGGAUGACGGCCUUCGGGUUGUAAACCUCUUUUAGUAGGGAAGAAGCGAAAGUGACGGUACCUGCAGAAAAAGCACCGGCUAACUACGUGCCAGCCGCCGCGGUAA